GACGAACGCUGGCGGCGUGCUUAACACAUGCAAGUCGUACGGUAAGGCCCUUUCGGGGGUACACGAGUGGCGGACGGGUGAGUAACACGUGAGUAACCUGCCCACAACUUUGGGAUAACGCUAGGAAACUGGUGCUAAUACUGGAUAUGUGCUCCUGCUGCAUGGUGGGGGUUGGAAAGCUCCGGCGGUUGUGGGUGGACUCGCGGCCUAUCAGCUUGUUGGUGGGGUAGUGGCCUACCAAGGCGGCGACGGGUAGCCGGCCUGAGAGGGUGACCGGCCACAUUGGGACUGAGAUACGGCCCAGACGCCGACGGGAGGCAGCAGGGGGGAAGAUUGAACAAGGGGCGCCAGCCGGAUGCAGCAACGCCGCGGGCGGGAUGACGGCCUUCGGGUUGUAAACCGCUUUCAGCAGGGACGAAGCUUUUUGUGACGGUACCUGCAGAAGAAGCACCGGCUAACUACGUG
rnacentral:rRNA from 1 species